GAAGCUCAGUGGCAGAGUGUCUGCCUUGGAUGCAGAAGGUCCCCAGGUUCAAUCCCCAAUGGCAUCUACA